GGAAAUUGAGGAAUCUUAUUUUCUUUGCUUUCCUUUCUUUUCCCUCCCCCCUCUAAUAAACAUAUGGAAGUAAACACAACUUCAUUUCUCUUCCACUUUCACUUUUUUCAACAAACAAUGCCUACAUUUAUAGUGUAGAUUUAAUCAAUGAUCAAUUAUCGAGAAAAUCUCCAUAUAAGGAGUUGAAAGUUCACAUUCCACAAAUCACUACCACAACUGAAUCGCUAUAGCUCAUAUCAGUGUGUACACCACAGAGUGCCGUGGAAUACAGAAGAAUUAAGUGAAGGAUCCCAUGGGAGAACAGGAUGCUGAAGCCCAUCCCAGAAGUUACUGGAGAUUCAAUAAACAAGAUUUCUUACCAGAAGAGUCAUUCCAAAGCUGGGCUAAUUACCGCUCUGCAUUAGCACAGACAGGUUUCCGUUUCAAGGAUCGUCUGAUAAGCCGAUCAGAUGAUGCCAAUGAGAUCAGAGAGUUGAGGAAACAAAGCGAGAAUGACAUGAAACCAUGCCUGACCUGGUGGGACCUCACGUGGUUUGGAUUUGGUUCUGUUAUUGGAGCUGGCAUCUUUGUGCUCACUGGCCAAGAAGCCCAUAAACAUGCAGGACCUGCUAUUGUGUUGUCCUACGUUGCUUCAGGAGUUUCAGCAAUGCUAUCUGUUUUCUGCUACACAGAAUUCGCUGUUGAAAUCCCUGUGGCAGGUGGGUCAUUUGCAUACCUAAGAAUUGAAUUAGGCGACUUUGUAGCAUUCAUAACCGCAGGAAACAUCCUGCUUGAAAGCAUUGUGGGCAGUGCAGCAGUGGCCAGAGCAUGGACUUCCUACUUCACAACUCUUCUGAACCGUCCUUCUAACUCUCUACGCAUCCAUACAAAACUAAGUGCAGAUUUCAAUCUCCUGGACCCGAUUGCUGUUGGUGUUUUAGUGAUUGCUGCAACAAUAGCAAUGAUCAGCACAAGGAAAACUUCAUUGUUCAACUGGAUAGCAACUGCAGUCAAUACUUUAGUAAUUUUGUUUGUGAUAAUUGCUGGGUUUGCUCAUGCCAAUACUUCCAAUCUGACCCCAUUUUUGCCUUAUGGAGCUAAGGGGAUUUUUCAAGCAGCUGCAAUUGUUUACUUUGCCUAUGGAGGGUUUGACAGCAUAGCCACCAUGGCAGAAGAAACAAAAAACCCAUCAAGAGACAUACCAUUAGGCCUGCUAGGAUCAAUGUCAACAAUUACUGUGAUAUACUUCUUGAUGGCACUUUCACUAAGUAUGAUGCAAAAAUACCAAGAGAUAGACGAAAAUGCGGCAUACUCGAUUGCAUUUCAGAGAGUUGGGAUGAAUUGGGCAAAGUACGUAGUAGCGCUUGGAGCACUUAAGGGGAUGACCACUGUUCUCCUAGUAGGGGCGCUUGGACAAGCACGAUAUACUACUCACAUUGCACGAGCCCACAUGAUUCCUCCUUGGUUUGCUCUCGUUCAUCCAAAGACUGGAACACCAAUAAAUGCCACACUUUUGAUCACCAUUUCAAGUGCUCUCAUUGCUUUCUUCUCAAGCCUCAAUGUAUUGUCUAGCUUGUUAUCACUGAGCACUCUAUUUAUCUUCAUGAUGAUGGCCGUUGCACUUCUGGUGAGGAGAUAUUAUGUGAGAGAAACCACACCGCGAAAGAACCUCUUGAAGUUGGUUGCUUUCCUGCUGAUAAUUACUGCAUCCUCCAUAGGCACUUCAGCUUACUGGGGACUGAAGCCCAGUGGGUGGGUUGGAUAUAUCAUCACUGUUCCUCUUUGGUUCCUUGGGACAAUAGGAAUGCACAUGACUCUGCCUCAGCAGAGAACACCAAAGUUUUGGGGGGUUCCACUUGUUCCAUGGCUUCCAUCCUUGUCAAUUGCAACAAACAUCUUUCUCAUGGGAUCUUUAGGUGCAUGGGCUUUUCUAAGAUUUGGGAUCUGCACAGUUGUAAUGCUGCUUUACUAUGUCUUUUUUGGUCUUCAUGCAACUUAUGACAUGGCCCAUCAGCAACAGAAAACUUCUUCAUUUGAAGUUAAGGAUGAUGACAUUGCUGGAAAAGGGCCUUGAACCAUUGUAUCCUUCAUCAUUCAAUCCACAACCUGCGAUUAAUAAUCUGUAACACCAAUCAGACUAUUUCCAGCAUAUACAAGACAUCCUAUGCUUGUAGCUGUCAAAUGGAAGGAAAAACUGCUAUCCAAUGUAGCUCAUUUGUUGGUUGUGUUUAUUUUGGAUAAGAUAAUACAAAACAACUUGAAACAAAAAUAGCACAAAGCAGAAUAUCCAAAAUUUAUGCAGAGCAACAUUAUUAAUGAAGGUGUCUGAUUAUUUGUAUCCUUACCUCAUUCACACGGCCUUAUCAAAUGCAACAAAUGUGUGCAUGUGCUUGUGUUUCCCUUCACAUGAUAAAA
rnacentral:misc_RNA from 1 species